rnacentral:rRNA from 1 species
GACGAACGCUGGCGGCGUGCUUAACACAUGCAAGUCGAACGAUGAAGCUAGAGCUUGCUCUGGUGGAUUAGUGGCGAACGGGUGAGUAACACGUGAGUAACCUGCCCCGAACUCUGGGAUAACUGCGGGAAACUGUAGCUAAUACCGGAUACGACCCUCGGCGGCAUCGCCAGGGGGUGGAAAGAAUUUCGGUCAAGGAUGGACUCGCGGCCUAUCAGCUAGUUGGUGAGGUAACGGCUCACCAAGGCGACGACGGGUAGCCGGCCUGAGAGGGUGACCGGCCACACUGGGACUGAGACACGGCCCAGACUCCUACGGGAGGCAGCAGUGGGGAAUAUUGCACAAUGGGCGCAAGCCUGAUGCAGCAACGCCGCGUGAGGGAUGACGGCCUUCGGGUUGUAAACCUCUUUUAGUAGGGAAGAAGCGAAAGUGACGGUACCUGCAGAAAAAGCACCGGCUAACUACGUGCCAGCCGCCGCGGUA